rnacentral:rRNA from 1 species
GAUGAACGCUGGCGGCGUGCUUAACACAUGCAAGUCGAACGGUGAAGGCGGAGCUUGCUCUGCUGGAUCAGUGGCGAAAGGGUGAGUAACACGUGAGCAAUCUGCCCCUGACUCUGGGAUAAGCGCUGGAAACGGCGUCUAAUACUGGAUACGAGCUGCGAAGGCAUCUUCAGCAGCUGGAAAGAACUUCGGUCAGGGAUGAGCUCGCGGCCUAUCAGCUUGUUGGUGAGGUAACGGCUCACCAAGGCGUCGACGGGUAGCCGGCCUGAGAGGGUGACCGGCCACACUGGGACUGAGACACGGCCCAGACUCCUACGGGAGGCAGCAGUGGGGAAUAUUGCACAAUGGGCGAAAGCCUGAUGCAGCAACGCCGCGUGAGGGACGACGGCCUUCGGGUUGUAAACCUCUUUUAGCAGGGAAGAAGCGAAAGUGACGGUACCUGCAGAAAAAGCGCCGGCUAACUACGUG